AGUAGCAAGAAGAAAAUUUUAUAUCAGUAAAGAAAAAACAAAAACUUCGACUCGAAAAUCACAAAAUCGAUGAAACAAACGACGUCUGAUUACUGUCCAAAAUUGCUGUUUGCUGAUGAAAGUAAAUUUAGCAAGAUGCAAGUUUAACAUCUUCGGCUGAGAUGAACGAGUGCUGGUUUGGGGAAAACCCAAAGACGAGUUUCGGAAGCAAAACUUAGUACCAAAUGUUAAGCACGGCGGGGAUGUAUCAACAGUAUGAGGAUUUAUGGCACGUUCUGGUGUUGGUAAUAUAGAGUUUAUAGAUGGCCUUAUUUAAUGCUUUAUAGAUGGCCUAAGUAUUUUGACAUCUUGAAGCGAAAAGAAUGUCAGGACUGUUUCCAGUUUGAACAAAAUGGUCACAUGGUACUUAGCUGUAACAUGAGGCGGGAGGCUUUUCAUACGGGGGCCCAGGCACAAGUGGAUCUCAGCCUGAACCUCCAACUCAUUCAAGCUGUAGAAUCACGGGCAGGAAGAAUAGGUCAGAAAAUGGCCUCCAAAGCCGGGGACCAAUGCCAUAGGGCAUAAGAAGUUCUGAUGAAUCAUUUGCAACAUGUCAAUAUUCGCACAAACAACGACCAGAUGGUAUUGCACCAAUAGAAUAGGAGAUAAAUAUAUUUUGUUUGCUACCAUGUAAUUCUUCAAAAACAGCUGCAAAAAUUUUAUUACAAGCUGUGAUGCCACGGUAGAGACAAAUUCCUGUUUGAAAACCAAUAAACGUAACUCUUCUAUCGAUAAAUAAUAACAAACUUUGAGGCAUAAAAUUUGGAAACAUCAUUUGAAUUUAAACAAAGAGUAAAACGGGUGUAUAAUCGAUAAUGGGACAUUAUUUCAGGAAAAAUAAAAUAUCUUCGCUUUUCACUUGCAAAGAAUUUGGUUUAAAACGGAUAAAAUAAUUGCUGUAAUUAUCAGUAAACACCCCUGAAAAUGUUUAUUUAAUGGACUCCGAGCUAAACUAUUGAUUAGAAAUGAAAAGAGGAAUAAUUUAAUUAUUUUCGUUAAAAGCAAUUUUCAGGCACUGAAAUGUAUGAUGAAUGCUUUCUGUAGCAUCGGUUCGUUGUGUAGGUUCGUAUCUGUAGGGCAAGUGCAUCACAGCUUGUUAAAAAAAAGCAGUUUGGAUAAAUGGACCACGUUUCUGUGACAGGAUAUGAUGAAUUAAAAUAUAUUGUCUUGGAAAUAUUUUUGGUGCCAUUUCUUUUUUCCAAGGAAUAAAAGUAACCCGAGCAGACGUUUCUGACCCAAAUCUAGGAUAUACGCAGAGACACUUUUGAUGACUUAAAUUACAGGGUUACCACAAAUGUUUCAUUUUUAAAAAGGCUAUAUUUUCAAAAGUAUUUUACGUACACACAUGAAAGGUAUAUGAAAAUAACCACAAACUCAUAAAGGUUUUUUUUCACUAUUUCACUAAGUUUCUCGGAUAACUGGAAUAUUGCUUCAUCGCUGAAUAUCAUCUUGGUGGCGAAAUCUUCAUCGUCCUCCAAUGCUGUCACAAAAAUCUAGUCCACCGGCGUAAUCCUCCGUCUUUAACUGUUGCAGGAGCUAUACAUGGUACGGCUUGAAAUGCAGUUGCUGGCGCAAAAUCUUCCACCCGGUUUUUGCGGUAUCCGGAACAUCCGAGCCAAUUGACAGAAUGGCCAUCUGGACAACAAUGCUGGACGCCUGGACGUGUGUCGUGCCACCAAAGGGUCACAUACUGAAUAUUUGUACAGGAUGUAUAAACUUGAACAAAGUGCGCCAAUUGUUCACAAAAAGAUACAUGCACCUAACUUUGCUCGUUGGCUGUCUUUAACUUGUGUUGUUUUAUUUUCCAUACCAAUACAGUUGUUUUCAACAUAAUUGUUGUCAAAAAGGUUUUAGAACAUCACCAAUUUUCUUCAGAAAAUUACCUGCACCAACUUUUCAAAUUUGUUGUUCGUUUUACUGUGUGGACUCAAAAAAGUGUUCGAUCAAAGAAUUCCUGAUGAUUGGCAUGUCGAGAAAGAUGUUGGGUUUUCUGCUUCUCAUAAGCAAUUUCACUACUAUUUUGGGCGAAAGUGCUAUCCAAGAGACCCGUUGGUUUGCAUGUCCCGCACAAUUUGGUCUGUUCGCCAACCCCAUGAAUCCAAGAAACUUCUUCGUCUGCGACAGGGGUCUAGCGUACGACACGCCGUGUCCUUAUUACCGCCCAAACUUCAAUGCCGAACUGAAGAUAUGCAUGGUCUUGCCGACACCAAACUUGCAUGGAAAAGAAAGAAAUGCACAGCCUCUUGAUAUUGAAAAAUAAAUGAAAAUUCGGUGGCAUCCACCAAGAUUUGUCGGCUCGUAAUGGACAAUUCUGCUGUCUGGGCGAAGCUAUUUAUGUGCCUGUGUUGGUGUACUUCUGCUGUUGCCGGUGGAUACAAAAGACUGUGGAAAACCAAACCACUAGUCGUAAAUCGUAGAUUUCAAUUUUAAUCUAAAUUUUAAUGUUGUAUAACGAUGGGACCUUGUCAUUUUAUGCUGAAUCGAAAUUUGUGUAACUUUUAUGAAAUAAAUGUGUACUAUUUCCCA